AUUGAACGCUGGCGGCAUGCCUUACACAUGCAAGUCGAACGGCAGCACGGGGGCAACCCUGGUGGCGAGUGGCGAACGGGUGAGUAAUAUAUCGGAACGUACCCUGGAGUGGGGGAUAACGUAGCGAAAGUUACGCUAAUACCGCAUACGAUCUAAGGAUGAAAGUGGGGGAUCGCAAGACCUCAUGCUCCUGGAGCGGCCGAUAUCUGAUUAGCUAGUUGGUGGGGUAAAGGCCUACCAAGGCAUCGAUCAGUAGCUGGUCUGAGAGGACGACCAGCCACACUGGGACUGAGACACGGCCCAGACUCCUACGGGAGGCAGCAGUGGGGAAUUUUGGACAAUGGGGGGCAACCCUGAUCCAGCAAUGCCGCGUGAGUGAAGAAGGCCU
rnacentral:rRNA from 1 species